AACGAACGCUGGCGGCAGGCCUAACACAUGCAAGUCGAACGGAAAGUGCCCUUUCGGGGGUGACUCGAGUGGCGAACGGGUGAGUAACACGUGGGUGAUCUGCCCUGCACUUUGGGAUAAGCCUGGGAAACUGGGUCUAAUACCGGAUAGGACUACGGCCUGCAUGGGUUGUGGUGGAAAGCUUUUGCGGUGUGGGAUGGGCCCGCGGCCUAUCAGCUUGUUGGUGGGGUGAUGGCCUACCAAGGCGACGACGGGUAGCCGGCCUGAGAGGGUGUCCGGCCACACUGGGACUGAGAUACGGCCCAGACUCCUACGGGAGGCAGCAGUGGGGAAUAUUGCACAAUGGGCGCAAGCCUGAUGCAGCGACGCCGCGUGAGGGAUGACGGCCUUCGGGUUGUAAACCUCUUUCAACUACGACGAAGCGUAAGUGACGGUAGUAGUAGAAGAAGCACCGGCCAACUACGUGCCAGCAGCCGCCGUAACAC
rnacentral:rRNA from 1 species